UACAGAGGGGGCAAGCGUUAUUCGGAAUUAUUGGGCGUAAAGGGCGCGUAGGCGGCUUUGCAAGUGGCGGGUGAAAUCCCUCGGCUUAACCGAGGAACUGCCUGCCAGACUGUGAGGCUUGAGACCGGGAGAGGUGAGUGGAAUUCCCAGUGUAGCGGUGAAAUGCGUAGAUAUCUGGAGGAACACCGGUGGCGAAGGCGGCAUCCUGGACCAAUACUGACGCUGAGGAGCGAAAGCCAGGGGAGCAAACGGG
rnacentral:rRNA from 1 species